CGNGAAGANCCUUNCCAAGGCUUGACAUGGAUUUNUAAGCACGUGAAAGCGUGUGACCCUUCGGGGAACUUCCACAGGUGCUGCAUGGCCGUCGUCAGCUCGUGUCGUGAGAUGUUGGGUUAAGUCCCGCAACGAGCGCAACCCUUGUGAUUAGUUGCCAGCGGGUAAUGCCGGGAACUCUAAUCAGACUGCCCAGAUCAACUGGGAGGAAGGUGGGGACGACGUCAGGUCAGUAUGGCCCUUACGCCUUGGGCUGCACACGUACUACAAUGCCCAGUACAAUGAGAACCGAGACCGCGAGGUGGAGGAAAUCUAUAAAACUGGGCCCAGUUCGGAUUGGAGGCUGCAACUCGCCUCCAUGAAGUUGGAAUCGCUAGUAAUGGCGCAUCANCUACNGCGCCGUGAAUACNUUCCCGGGUCUUGUACACACCGA
rnacentral:rRNA from 1 species